rnacentral:rRNA from 1 species
AUGAACGCUAGCGGCAGGCUUAAUACAUGCAAGUUGAGGGGCAGCAUGAUAUACGCGAGUAUAUUGAUGGCGACCGGCGGACGGGUGAGUAAUAGGUAGGAGACCUACCUCAUACAGGGGGAUAGCAUAGAGAAAUCUGUGGUAAUACCCCAUGAGGUUAUAUGAAUAGAGGCAUAUAAUCAAAGCAUAAGCGAUUAUGCGGUAUGAGAGGGGCCUACUGACCAUUAGCUAGUUGGUGAGGUAAGGGCUCACCAAGGCGAAGAUGGUUAGGGGUUUUGAGAGAGAGACCCCCCACAUUGGAACUGAGAGACGGUCCAGACUCCUACGGGAGGCAGCAGUAGGGAAUAUUGGGCAAUGGGCGAAAGCCUGACCCAGCCAUCCCGCGUGAAGGAAGAAUGCGCUACGCGUUGUAAACUUCUUUUCCAGGGGGAGAAUAAUCCUGUCGUGACAGGACUUGACGGUACUCUGGGAAUAAGCAUCGGCUAACUCCGUG